UCCACCCAAUCUCUCAUGAAGUAGAUUCUUUAUUGAGAUCAGUAAGAAGAGGAUUGUAGAAUCACUCCUAAAAUUUGGUUUAGUCUAAACCCUACCAUUCAUUGGAUUUUCUUAAUUUAUUUCUCAGUAUCUCUAAAAUUAUCUUGACCGUUAAUCAUUCAUUGAUUAGGAUGCCUAAUUGACUCUUAAUCAAAAUAAAAUUUGGAUACACAAAACUAAUUAUUUCUGACCAUACUCGAGGAUUUGAUUAAUUUUCUUUCCCCCCCACCUUAAUCUAAAUUGUCCUCAAUGGAGUAGGAAAGCAAAGAAAAUAAAAGGAGAGAGUGCACCUGGGAUAAUUUUGCUUCAGAAGUUGAAGAUAGCUUCAUUG
rnacentral:lncRNA from 1 species